CUUGGUCAUUUAGAGGAAGUAAAAGUCGUAACAAGGUUUCCGUAGGUGAACCUGCGGAAGGGUCAUUCAUAAUAAGUGUUUUAUGGCACUUUUUAAAUCCAUAUCCACCUUGUGUGCAAUGUCAGUCGAUCUUCUUCAUGGAGAUCGACCAAACAUCAACCUUUAUUUUUUAACUCUUUGUCUGAAAAAUAUUAUGAAUAAACAAUUCAAAAUACAACUUUCAACAACGGAUCUCUUGGCUCUCGCAUCGAUGAAGAACGCAGCGAAAUGCGAUACGUAAUGUGAAUUGCAGAAUUCAGUGAAUCAUCGAAUCUUUGAACGCAUAUUGCGCUCUUUGGUAUUCCGAAGAGCAUGCUUGUUUGAGUAUCAGUAAACACCUCAAAGCUUUUGGAUUUUUUAAUCGAAAAGCUUUGGACUUGAGCAAUCCCAACACCAAUCUUUUUGAGAUCGGUGGCGGGUUGCUUGAAAUGCAGGUGCAGCUGGACAUUCUCCUGAGCUAAAAGCAUAUUCAUUUAGUCCCGUCAAACGGAUUAUUACUUUUGCUGCAGCUAACAUAAAGGGAGUUUGACCGUAUUGGCUGACUGAUGCAGGAUUUCACAAGGGUCGGCAACGAUUCUUGUUAAACUCGAUCUCAAAUCAAGUAAGACUACCCGCUGAACUUAAGCAUAUCAAUAAGCGGAGGAAAAGAAACUAACAAGGAUUCCCCUAGUAACGGCGAGUGAAGCGGGAUGAGCUCAAAUUUAAAAUCUGGCUGGUUUACUAGUCCGAAUUGUAGUUUAUAGAAGCGUUUUCGGUGGCAGCCUGGGUAUAAAUCCUUUGGAAUAGGGUAUCAUAGAGGGUGAGAAUCCCGUCUUUGACUCAGUGCAUGCUACUAUGUGAUACGUUUUCAAAGAGUCGAGUUGUUUGGGAAU
rnacentral:sRNA from 1 species